CUCCUACGGGAGGCAGCAGUGAGGAAUUUUGCGCAAUGGGGGAAACCCUGACGCAGCAACGCCGCGUGAGUGAUGAAGGCUUUCGAGUCGUAAAGCUCUGUCAAGUGGGAAGAAACUGCUCCGUGCUAAUAUCACGGAACACUGACGGUACCACUGAAGGAAGCACCGGCUAACUCCGUGCCAGCAGCCGCGGUAAUACGGGGGGUGCAAGCGUUAUUCGGAAUCAUUGGGCGUAAAGGGCGCGUAGGCGGUCUCUUAAGUCAGGUGUGAAAGCCCGGGGCUUAACCCCGGAAGUGCACUUGAAACUAAGGGACUUGAGUAUGGGAGAGGGAAGUGGAAUUCCUGGUGUAGCGGUGAAAUGCGUAGAUAUCAGGAGGAACACCGGUGGCGAAGGCGACUUCCUGGACCAAUACUGACGCUGAGGCGCGAAGGCGUGGGGAGCAAACAGGAUUAGAUACCCUGGUAGUCCACGCAGUAAACGGUGAACACUAGGUGUAGUGGGUAUUGACCCCUGCUGUGCCGCAGUUAACGCAUUAAGUGUUCCGCCUGGGGAGUACGGCCGCAAGGUUAAAACUCAAAGGAAUUGACGG
rnacentral:rRNA from 1 species